AGGGAUAGCAAACAGGACGUAGGAGUUUUGCAGGAGUUUAGCGGGAAGUGUGCGGGGGAGCAUGGAACAAGCCCCCGCGAUCACAAGGAUCACAAGGAGCCUGGUGGAGAAGAGAACAUCAGAGCUGGCCCUAUGAUGAAGCAGGGUGAAGUGAGCUGCUUCAGGCCUUGGACUGUGGGCCACUUCUCAAAGUGGCACAACAGCUUACCCAGCACUGCAGGAUAGAUGGUCUGCAGAGGAAGGCAAGCAAAAUGGCACCGUGCUGUUUUCCCUCUUCCCUUCCUAACAGGAAAGGAAGGAAGUGGGACAGAUCUGACAGGAACUGGGAUGUGAUUUUAAUAGAAAAAAGCAAGGGGAGGUAAGGAGAAACCAUUUGGUGCUCUACAACAGGCAGAAAACUGAACUGGUGAUGUGAUUUUAAUACAAAAAAGAAAAAGAAAA